ACCCGCUGAACUUAAGCAUAUCAAUAAGCGGAGGAAAAGAAACCAACAGGGAUUGCCCUAGUAACGGCGAGUGAAGCGGCAACAGCUCAAAUUUGAAAUCUGGCCCUUGGGUCCGAGUUGUAAUUUGUAGAGGAUGUUUUUGGUGCGGUAUCUUCCGAGUUCCUUGGAACAGGACGCCUUAGAGGGUGAGAGCCCCGUACGGUUGAAUGCCUAGCCUUUGUAAAACUCCUUCGACGAGUCGAGUAGUUUGGGAAUGCUGCUCUAAAUGGGAGGUAAAUUUCUUCUAAAGCUAAAUACUGGCCAGAGACCGAUAGCGCACAAGUAGAGUGAUCGAAAGAUGAAAAGCACUUUGAAAAGAGGGUUAAAUAGCACGUGAAAUUGUUGAAAGGGAAGGAUUUAUGACCAGACUUUUUCUGGGCGGAUCAUCCGGUGUUCUCACCGGUGCACUUCGCUCAGUUUAGGCCAGCAUCGAUUUUCGGUGGGGGAUAAAAGCUUUAGGAAUGUGGCUCCUCCGGGAGUGUUAUAGCCUAUUGUAUAAUACCCUACUGGGGAUCGAGGUACGCGCUUCUGCAAGGAUGCUGGCGUAAUGGUUAUCAAUCACCCGUCUUGAAACACGGACCAAGGAGUCGAACAUUUGUGCAAGUGUUUGGGUGUUAAACCCUCACGCGUAAUGAAAGUGAACGGAGGUGAGAGCCCUUACGGGUGCAUCAUCGACCGAUCCUGAUGUUUUCGGAUGGAUUUGAGUAAGAGCAUAACUGUUCGGACCCGAAAGAUGGUGAACUAUGCGUGGAUAGGGUGAAGCCAGAGGAAACUCUGGUGGAGGCUCGCAGCGGUUCUGACGUGCAAAUCGAUCGUCAAA
rnacentral:rRNA from 1 species